GAUGAACGCUGGCGGCGUGCCUAAUACAUGCAAGUCGAGCGAACGGACGAGAAGCUUGCUUCUCUGAUGUUAGCGGCGGACGGGUGAGUAACACGUGGAUAACCUACCUAUAAGACUGGGAUAACUUCGGGAAACCGGAGCUAAUACCGGAUAAUAUUUUGAACCGCAUGGUUCAAAAGUGAAAGACGGUCUUGCUGUCACUUAUAGAUGGAUCCGCGCUGCAUUAGCUAGUUGGUAAGGUAACGGCUUACCAAGGCAACGAUGCAUAGCCGACCUGAGAGGGUUAUCGGCCACACUGGAACUGAGACACGGUCCAGACUCCUAAGGGAGGCAGCAGUAGGGAAUCUUCCGCAAUGGGCGAAAGCCUGACGGAGCAACGCCGCGUGAGUGAUGAAGGUCUUCGGAUCGUAAAACUCUGUUAUUAGGGAAGAACAUAUGUGUAAGUAACUGUGCACAUCUUGACGGUACCUAAUCAGAAAGCCACGGCUAACUACGUG
rnacentral:rRNA from 1 species